AACGAACGCUGGCGGCAUGCCUAACACAUGCAAGUCGAACGAGACCUUCGGGUCUAGUGGCGCACGGGUGCGUAACGCGUGGGAACCUGCCCUUAGGUUCGGAAUAACUCCCCGAAAGGGGUGCUAAUACCGGUUAAUGUCUUCGGACCAAAGAGUUAUCGCCUUUGGAUGGGCCCGCGUUGGAUUAGCUAGUUGGUAGGGUAAAAGCCUACCAAGGCGACGAUCCAUAGCUGGUCUGAGAGGAUGAUCAGCCACACUGGGACUGAGACACGGCCCAGAAUCCUACGGGAGGCAGCAGUGGGGAAUAUUGGACAAUGGGCGAAAGCCUGAUCCAGCAAUGCCGCGUGAGUGAUGAAGGCCUUAGGGUUGUAAAGCUCUUUUACCCGGGAUGAUAAUGACAGUACCGGGAGAAUAAGCUCCGGCUAACUCCGUG
rnacentral:rRNA from 1 species